CUGUCGCCCUGGCAACUGGUCCACUUCCACUCCCCACCCCAAAUGCAGGCCCUGCUGGUACCCUGCACCAGCGUCCCUGGGGGGCUGCGGGGCGGGGGACGGGCUGCUGCAGAGCGGGGCGGGUGGCAGCAGAUGGAGCAGAAGUGUGUCAGGCAAAGGCAGCGAAACGAUGGCAGCUCCCCAGGAAGAAAAGGAGCCUCCAGUGCCCCAGCAGCAGGGACUCUCAGUGGAAGCCAUUGCUUUGGGCAGAGAGAAUUCAGACCCCAAACUCUGGCUAGACUGACUGUGCAAAACCAGCACUGGCCCCAGAGAUCAGAGCUGGAGAUGAGACAAGAUGAACAUUUUCAAGGAGAUAUUAUUAAAACCGUUGGGAGAAAUACCAAACAUGUUUUCAUGGAAAUUUCCAUUUUUGAAAAAAAAUUAAAAAAUAGUAAUAAAAGAAGGACUAAACUUGGAUGCGUUUAUAUAAAUAUGGAAAUGAAAACCAUUCUAUGCGCCUUGCCACCACCCCACGGCCAGCCCCGCUCCCUCUGCCCACCCCAGGAUCCCAAGUGGAUCUCAGCUUGUGCGCUGACGUGUAGAUGUGGUGCUGAGGGACAUGGCUUACUGGGCAAUAAGGGUGAUAGGUGGAUGGUUGGAUGAGAUGAUUUUAGAGGUCUUUUCCAAUCUUAAUGAUUCUGUGAUCCUCAGCAUCCUCCUCCUGCAUUGUGCUGCCUUAGAUUUGGCAGCCACUUGCCAAGAGGCUUGGCCAAACAGCAGCUGAUGGGCAAAGAGUUGGGUUCGCCCAACGGGGCACCUUGCUGGAUGAGCCAGGGAUGGAGAUGGGGCAUUAGGAGAUGGGGAGGAGCUGAGUGCCCUAUGGGUCCUGUCCUGGAGGGCAUUACAGGGGACGUGCCCAUGGGGCCAGCAGUGUGGUGAUGGAUGGAUGGAGCAGCAGGGCCAGGUGUGCCAACAGCCAAGCUCCGGCAUUGUGAACUCUUUCCCAUCUCUACAAGAAGAGGCCCUCCUGUAGGAUGCCUUGCCGUCAGCUCUUUUUUUUUUUUCUUUGUUUCUACAGAAAAUCCCAAUUCCCCCAAAUAAUCCAGCUCAGAGUAAAAAAGAAAAAAAAAAAACCCAUUACAAACGUGUCAUUGCAUUCUCUUCCCGUCCCCGUCCCUCUCACACACAGGGCUUGAAAGCGCACUGAAAGGUAUUCAGUGUGCACGCUGCCAAUUGUCACAUCUUUCAAUGACAGAUUUUAAAUGAAUGUUAUUUUGCAAAGGAAAGAGAGG